rnacentral:rRNA from 1 species
GACGAACGCUGGCGGCGUGCCUAAUACAUGCAAGUAGAACGCUGAAGAGAGGAGCUUGCUCUUCUUGGAUGAGUUGCGAACGGGUGAGUAACGCGUAGGUAACCUGCCUUGUAGCGGGGGAUAACUAUUGGAAACGAUAGCUAAUACCGCAUAACAAUGGAUGACACAUGUCGUUUAUUUGAAAGGGGCAAUUGCUCCACUACAAGAUGGACCUGCGUUGUAUUAGCUAGUAGGUGAGGUAACGGCUCACCUAGGCGACGAUACAUAGCCGACCUGAGAGGGUGAUCGGCCACACUGGGACUGAGACACGGCCCAGACUCCUACGGGAGGCAGCAGUAGGGAAUCUUCGGCAAUGGGGGCAACCCUGACCGAGCAACGCCGCGUGAGUGAAGAAGGGUUUCGGAUCGUAAAGCUCUGUUGUAAGUCAAGAACGAGUGUGAGAGUGGAAAGUUCACACUGUGACGGUAGCUUAACAGAAAGGGACGGCUAACUACGUG